rnacentral:rRNA from 1 species
AGCGAACGCUGGCGGCAGGCCUAACACAUGCAAGUCGAGCGCCCCGCAAGGGGAGCGGCAGACGGGAGAGUAACACGUGGGAACGUACCUUUCAGUUCGGAACAACCCAGGGAAACUUGGGCUAAUACCGGAUACGCCCGUAAGGGGAAAGAUUUAUCGCUGAAAGAUCGGCCCGCGUCUGAUUAGCUAGUUGGUGAGGUAACGGCUCACCAAGGCGACGAUCAGUAGCUGGUCUGAGAGGAUGAUCAGCCUCAUUGGGACUGAGACACGGCCCAAACUCCUACGGGAGGCAGCAGUGGGGAAUAUUGGACAAUGGGCGCAAGCCUGAUCCAAGCCAUGCCGCGUGGGUGAUGAAGGCCCUAGGGUUGUAAAGCCCUUUCGGCGGGAAGAUAAUGACGGUACCCGCAGAAGAAGCCCCGGCUAACUUCGUGCCAGCAGCCGCCGC